GACGUAGGGCGCGAGCGUUGUCCGGAUUUAUUGGGCGUAAAGAGCUCGUAGGCGGCUUGUCGCGUCGACUGUGAAAACCCGAGGCUCAACUUCGGGCUUGCAGUCGAUACGGGCAGGCUAGAGUUCGGUAGGGGAGACUGGAAUUCCUGGUGUAGCGGUGAAAUGCGCAGAUAUCAGGAGGAACACCGAUGGCGAAGGCAGGUCUCUGGGCCGGUACUGACGCUGAGACGCGAAAGCGUGGGGAGCGAACAGG
rnacentral:rRNA from 1 species